ensembl:lncRNA
UGUAGAAAAAUUCUGGGAACGAGAAAUCAGGACUUUCUGAAUGAGGGAAAAGAGCAAAGGAGUGAGAAUUGUGCAGGCAAUAAUGAGAAAACAAGUGUUUUGAGGGGAAGUUUUGGAAAGUAAUGGGAGAGCAGGGAUCUUCAUCAGGAAAUACACAGUGCUGUCAAGGAAAAUACUGCUGCACAGUCCCUGCUCUCAACAACAUCCUCAGUGUCCUUGUGGUGGGGUGUCUUGGAAGGACUGUGCAGAUCAAGCUUCACACUGCCUCUGCCCUCGAGGCUCUCUGUGCUGAGGCAAUGAACGCAGACCUAUACUUCACCCUGGUUUAUCACAGGAAUUUUUCCAGCCCCUGUUCAAACAGCUUCUGCCUGAG